CUGACCUGUUCACCGGACGUGCUGCCUGUCCCAGACCUGCUGUUUUCAACUCUCUAGAGACAGCAGGAACGGUCACCUUCUGAUGAACCAGAGGAUACCUCAGUCAACAGAUGACUCUACUGACGACCAGGAAGCCACCAAAUCCACAAACUGAUAUCGCUUUUCUCAAACCAAUAUCCAACGCGUGUGUUAACUUCAGCAAACGUACCUGUCAUUUCUGAAACACAACUAGGCCUUAUGUGCUGUCUGAGAGUUAGUCAUCUUUGUUAUGUGAUCUGUUCCAUUAUUAUAUUGAAGGUGUACUUUAUGUGAUUCAUUCUUUAUUAUGAAAGGCAACAAGCUCUCCUAUUCCAUCAUGUCUGCUCCUUUUCCAUCUUUCUCCCUCUGUUUGUGACUGAAUGGUGCCCCCUGGUGGAGAUACAGCAGGUAGACCACGUAUACAGAUCUACUGUCUUUACACUAUACAGAUACUGUAUGUCUAGAUACAUACUGUGCCAUGCCUGAUCACAUUGGUCAUGCCUUGCCACAAUAGGCCAUGUGUUUCAUUCAGUUCUCUAAAUGGUUCAUUGUCCUUGUAUUCGCUCACAAUAACACAUAUCUAGGUCAUGGUGUUCCCUGCUGGUUUGAAAGAGCAUUUUUGCAUUUACUUUGACUUUAUGUACGUGUUUUGCUUACAUAACUAAUGUUGUGGUCUCUGUGUAUUUAAUGGACUUUUAUUGAUCCAGUGAUCGGAAAGAGGGAUGCUGACAUGGAGGAGAAUGUGUGGGGAUUAGAGGGUGGUGAGGAUGGGCUAUGUAUUGGGGGAGGUGAGGAUGGGCGAGGGAUUGGGGGAGGUUGAGGAUGGGCGAGGGAUUGGGGGAGGUUGAGGAUGGGCGAGGGAUAAGAGGGAUGUGAGGAUGGGCAAGGGAUUGGGUGGAGGUGAGGAUGGGCAAAGGAUUAGAGGGAGGUGGGGUUUGGGCCAGGGACUGGGGGGAGGUGCGGAUGUGCAAGGGAUGGGAGGAGGUGAGGAUGGGCGAGGGAUUGGGGGGACGUUAGGAUGAGACAGGGGGACGUGAGGAUGGGACAGGGAUUAGAGGGAGGUGAGGAUGGGUGAGGGAUUGGGGAGUUGAACAGUAUGUUUAUGGGGAGGAGGUAGGCAUGAUGAGAGGAGAAGAACAUUGUACCACGCAGAAGAAGGCCCAUGGCUCACAGAGCUGCUGGAGGAACACGUUGUGUAAUGAUGUGUGUAAUACUGUAGGUGUGUAAUACUGUCUAAUACUGUAGGUGUGUAAUACUGUGUAAUACUGUAGGUGUGUAAUACUGUGUAAUACUGUAGGUGUGUAAUACUGUGUAAUACUGUAGGUGUGUAAUACUGUGUAAUACUGUAGGUGUGCAAUACUGUGUAAUACUGUAGGUGUGUAAUACUGUGUAAUACUGUAGGUGUGUAAUACUGUGUAAUACAGGUGUUCCCUCUGAGGCCCAGGUGAAGAGGCUUGACUAGGCCUCAAUAAGGUCAAGACUUGGAUUAUGUCCUGAAGGGAAAUGCAGUUUAGCAGCCCUCGUCAUUAUGAAUGUGGUGGCCGUUAGUUUAUUAGAUCAUGAGAAGAAUGCCUGUUUGUUCAUGCAUCCUAUGGAACGCAACAAUGCUUCAGAUUCAUCCGGACCAUGAAAUCUACUAAACAACACCCCAGCAUUUUAUACCAGGCUAUGGUUUCUAUUCAUAGACACAUCUUGUCUGGUGAUAUUUUAGUGGGUGUGAAACGUUGUAUGCCUGUAUUUUUCAAGCUGAUACAGUAACUCCAGCCCUGCUACACCGUCCCUAUGGUUCUCCUGCCCCUCCUGUCGGACAGAAGGUUACACUCCAGUUCCAGAAGCGUCUUGCCUCCAUGGAGACCGUUUCCUUAUUAAGAUAAUUAUUUUCAAUCUGUGGCACCCGCCGACCUAAUUACUCUUCUGGAUCCGGCCGAUACUCAUCUGUUGACAUUCGGAACUCGUUCUCUGGGAUUUUAAAAGAAAAAGUGCAUGGAGAGGGGGGUGAAGAAUGUUUGGCAGAUUUCGUCCAGGUGUGGCAUUUAAGCUCCCAGCCCAGUCCCACUGUCUUUACUUAAAAUUAUAUUCUGUUUGUUCAGUUAAGGAACCUCGACUAUUCUCUGCGGGCAAAUGGAAAUGCAUGCACUCCAAUGGGCAUGUACUGGCAUUUUACUAUGUUUAUUCCUUGCCACAGCUGACCGUGGCAGAAAGCUUGCCCCGGUGUUAGUGCGCCUGGCAACUUUUUCACCCUAAAACUAUUUCCUAACUUUAAAGUGGAUGUGUGACCGAUGCUGAUUGACAUUGAAAAGGUGCCUCGAUCAAUUUAACCCAUCAUCAGAAUGAAACCUGUUUGGGGGAAGCUGGUGAUGUCAUGAGCAUCAUCGGCUCAACAGGGCAGGAUCCGUACUUGAUAUAUUAGGAAGAAGAGCAAAUUAUGAGAAAAAAAACUUUAUUCUCAGAAAUGUAUAUACAAUAUAUGUGUUAGGAGAUGACUGUUUAAGCAUUUGUGGAUCACCUGCAUCACAAAUGCAGUUUGCAUAUCUACAGGUAUAUUCCUACAUAUUCUUACAAUUCGUCCGUUUUAGAUGAAUAAACGCAACCUGGUUA